rnacentral:rRNA from 1 species
UGGGAUGCGAAUCUCGAAAGCCUGUCUCAGUUCGGAUUGGAGGCUGAAACCCGCCUCCAUGAAGUUGGAUUCGCUAGUAAUCGCGCAUCAGCCAUGGCGCGGUGAAUACGUUCCCGGGCCUUGUACACACCGCCCGUCAAGCUAUGGGAGCCGGGGGUGCCUGAAGUUCGUGACCGCAAGGAGCGACCUAGGGCAAAACUGGUGACUGGGGCUAAGUCGUAACAAGGUAUC